rnacentral:rRNA from 1 species
GAUGAACGCUGGCGGCGUGCCUAAUACAUGCAAGUCGAGCGAACAGACGAGGAGUUUGCUCCUCUGACGUUAGCGGCGGACGGGUGAGUAACACGUGGAUAACCUACCUAUAAGACUGGGAUAACUUCGGGAAACCGGAGCUAAUACCGGAUAAUAUAUUGAACCGCAUGGUUCAAUAGUGAAAGACGGCUUUGCUGUCACUUAUCGAUGGAUCCGCGCCGCAUUAGCUAGUUGGUAAGGUAACGGCUUACCAAGGCAACGAUGCGUAGCCGACCUGAGCGGGUGAUCGGCCACACGGGAGCUGGGACACGGUCAAGGCUCCUGCGAGAGGCAGCAGUAGCGAAUCUUCCGCAGUGGGCGAAAGCCUGGCGGAGCAACGCGGCGUGAGUGAUAAAGGUCUUCGGAUCGUAAAGCUCUGUUAUGAGGUAAAAACAAAUGUGUAAGUAACUGUGCACGUCUUGACGGUACCUAAUCAGAAAGCCACGGCUAACUACGUG